rnacentral:tRNA from 1 species
GAGCUCGUCGCCUAGCACGGCUGUGGGCACUGGGCUUUUAACCCAGCAAUUCGCGAGUUCAAAUCUCGCCGAGCUCG